UUCUAGGUUAGGUCUCAAACCGCACCAAAAUAAACCGCGAAACACCCCCCCUCUUAGUUAAGCUAGACGAAGAAAGUCGAUGACGAAAAUAUUCCAAAUUCGGGAUUCCGACCGGUGGAGGGAAAUCGAAAUUCGACUCACAGAUAAUUGAUUUCAUGCUUUUCCCCCUCAAAUUAAAUCUCCUCUCCCAUAAAUUUCAAUUCGAUUAGCAUUGUUAAAUUAUCACCCGAAUCAAACAUUUCAAACAAUCUAGGUUAUGAGAGAAGAAGCCCAAUAUAUUCAUGGAACUUCGACCAAAAAAAUUAUAUCUCGCGAAAUUGCUUUGAGCUAUAGAUGACGAAUUGAAGAAGUUGGAGUUACACAUGCAGGAUGAAAACAAGGCGUUGAAUUUCUUAUUUAAAAGGCUGCAAUAUUCAAGAUCGUUUUCAAUCUGUUUUUCCAUCUACACUGGAAACGCAGAGACCGUGUACCCCUGGAGGUUGAUUGCUAUGAGGCCGUGUGUUGUAGCGGGGCAAAUUCAACUUUAGAGCAGUGAAUUUUUCACGCCACGGUUUUCCAGAUAAGUUAAAUUUAUGUUGUUAGCGGUUUUAGUUCCUACAAAAAGUGGUGCAAGAAUGACUGCGUAUUAGCUUUUAGCAUUGUCAAUUUGUCACGGUAGCUUUUGAGACAAUGCAUUUUCAAAGAUAUAACCGCACCAGUGUAUUUGUGUUCCUCAAGCCAAAGCCACAGAGAUUGCAAAGAUCUAAGUCGGCGUAUGGAAAAGGGAAUGGGUCACCUAAGUUUGUUAUUGUUGAGAAUUUGAGAUAUACUUCAGAAGAUCUAAAUGGGAGAGUGUCUCUGGUAUACUACAUUUGAAUCUUGAUAUAGCGUAUGGAUGAUUUCGUGAAUGUGAGGUUUCAAGUGGGCCAAUACCAAUUGGGAUCUUGCUAGAGAAAUUGUUGCUGUGAAGAUCUACUUAUGUUUGGUGCAACCAAAUUGAUGCUGGAAUAUAUCAGGACGAUUGAUUUACGUAUGGAGCAGAUAGGUAUGCCUGUAUGCCAUUGAAAGAUAGACGCAGGUAUGGUGCUAGAGAUUACUGAUAUUAAGGUAGGGUCUUAUGUGUAUAUGGAGGUUAAUAAGUGUAGUGGAUUUUGAACUACUCAACUAAUAUGCUAGCGUUACUUGGCUGACUUAUGUCUUGGAACAGACAUAUUUAAUCCUUUGCCAAACGGAGGAAGGAUGGACCAAAUGUCACCACUGAUAACUUGGGUCAUGGAAGUGGAAUGGGAUCGUUGGAAUUAUAUAUUUGUUAAGAUCAGGGAGUUAGAGACAUGUAAGGCUGCUGGCAAGGUAGAGUGUGUACUUGUCUUGGAGGUACCGCUAAUGAAGUUAUCCACCAGUCAUUUAGAUAUUAAUAAGAAAGAUGAUAAUUAAUACUACUGGGAUGAGAAUUAUGACUUAGUCAGCUUAUAUACGGUGAAUCAUAAUCACUGAGGGUUGUGGAGUACUUGGAGAAUAGUGAUAGGAGGUCAAGUUUAUGAUUUUCUAAUGCACCCUAAGAGACUAUAGUCAUCUUAUUAUUAUUAAGUUUGAGUCAGUGAACAAAAAGAAACUCAAUGCUGGGCACCAACAAUAAUAAAAAGAUCUCAUACUAUGUUGCUGCCCAGGAUCGAACUGGGGACCUUUAGUGUGUAAGACUAACGUGAUAACCACUACACCACAGCAACAAUUAAUGUGAAUAUGUCCCAAGUAGUACUAUAUUCGAUACUAAUUGUCACAUUGUGUCGAUGUUCAUGUAGUCAAGCCUUGGAUUAUUUUUUCUACUCUUUCUCUAAUGGAUAGAAAGUUUACUCCUUUUCAAAUGAAGGGAUGCCUCAUUUUCCUCCCUAUUCAUUACCUUCUUCCUCCUCUUCUCCCAUCCAUCAUCAAUCAUCAUACCUCUGCUUUCCUUUUUUUUCAUUCUCUUUUAACUUGUUUCGUAAGGUUCUAAACAAAAAGGACAAACUAAUUAUUACAAUUGUCUUUUUCUUUGAUAAUAUUUUUUCAUGGAAUACUCUUUCCAUUGAUUUCCAUUCAACUAACAGAGCCUAAAUGUGCAAUUAUUAAUAUAUAAACAAAAUGAAGAAAGACCGUAAUACCUCUCAUCAGAUUUUGAUGCACUUAUUCAAUUAAGAGAAGAAGCGGAGAUGAGAUAGUCUUAUUACGUUGCCUAGAUUGCUGCAAUGCUAUUGAGAGACUUUUUCCAGUCAUUGUAUGAUUGUAGUUGCAGCAGUAUCAUGUAAGAAAUGAGUAGGAGGAUUUGAAGCUAUUGAGUUUCCCUUAUGCUGAUCUAUAAUCUAAGUAAAUAAAUAAUGGGUGUUGUGCGAGCUGUUCUUUAAGGACCGUUUAUAUUGGAAUUGAUUUUUUUUAGUGUUAUAGUUACAGUAGAGGAGAAGUGAUUAACCUGUUAUCCAACUAAUACUCGGCAAAAUAAUUUUAGGUGAGUUUUUCCUCUCUCUCCCCGAACCAUUUUUGUCUUACUUAUUGUAAGGACGUCCUUUUUAAUUUAUUUGGUGUUUGAUAGCUGCAUAUACACACACCUUGAUAUGGCUUGCUAAAUAGCAUAAUUCAAAAUUCAGUAAUUGAAUUUCCAUUUAGACUGCUCAGCAUCAUACUUUAAUGCAUUGAUGGUUUGCCUCAGUUGAAGGGCAUUCUACCAUUGGAAGGAGAUUGGGAUCAUUUGGUCAAUUUGGAAGGUUAAAGAGGAAACCAAACCAAUUACUUCUCCUGUUUCCUGCCCCUGUUUCCUGUGUGACUAUACUCAUCCUCAAUUAUUAUCAAGAUUUAUGAGUAGCAAAGGACUGAUUUUCAAAUCAUCUUAUGAACUACAUUGUAAAUAAAUACAUAGUUCUUCAGUGGUGUGCCGGUAUAAAGUCUCUUAUACAGCAUCUUCUGGUUUAGCAACUACAUGUUGAAGGGAGGUUUUGUGUGUUAGGUCUCUGAUUUUUUCUUUUACAGUCUUUUUGAAUGUCAUUAUAAUAUUAUCAAGACAAUAGAGUAAAAAAAUUAAUGUCUUGAACUCAUUGUUUGGCACUGAUUGAUGGACCAGAGCAAGUGGCAUUUCCAAUAAUAGUAAGUAAGGUGGUGCAUCUUA